CCGCCCAUAGCUCAACAGGAUAGAGCAACGGACUUCUAAUCCGUAGGUUCGGGGUUCGAGUCCCUGUGGGCGGGCCA
rnacentral:tRNA from 1 species